rnacentral:rRNA from 1 species
UACGAAGGGGCUAGCGUUGCUCGGAAUUACUGGGCGUAAAGCGCACGUAGGCGGUCUUUUAAGUCGGGGGUGAAAUCCUGGAGCUCAACUCCAGAACUGCCUUCGAUACUGGAAGACUUGAGUCCGGAGAGGUGAGUGGAACUGCGAGUGUAGAGGUGAAAUUCGUAGAUAUUCGCAAGAACACCAGUGGCGAAGGCGGCUCACUGGCCCGAUACUGACGCUGAGGCACGGAAAAGCGAUG